UACGUAGGGUGCGAGCGUUGUCCGGAUUUAUUGGGCGUAAAGAGCUCGUAGGCGGCCUGUUGCGUCCGCUGUGAAAUCCCGGGGCUCAACCCUGGGCGUGCAGUGGAUACGGGCAGGCUGGAGGCAGGCAGGGGAGAACGGAAUUCCUGGUGUAGCGGUGAAAUGCGUAGAUAUCAGGAGGAACACCUGUGGUGUAGACGGCUUUCUGGACCAUAGCUGACGCUGAGACACGAAAGCGUGGGUAGCAAACAGG
rnacentral:rRNA from 1 species